rnacentral:lncRNA from 1 species
UUCACUGUACUCAGUAAAGUGGAAUUAUGGACAAGAGUAUUCAGAUCAUUAUUGUCUUUAUAUUAGAAGAAAAAAUACAAUAUUCAUAACAAAGAAUGAGGAAAGCCAGAGCCAGACAUGAAAUAAGAGUUACCAUAGCACAGACAUAGGCAGACUCCCAAAUGCACCAACAAGAAGAGACAUAGAAGGCUCCAUGAAAUAAACAGAAAAAUGCGGAACAGUGGUAAAUUCUGUGACAUUUAUAGAGCCAGUAACAAAUGGAAUAUGUGAAGGGAAGACAUCUAACUAAUUAUGUUACAUUGGAUUGUACUGGAGCCAGAAGCUGGAAAACACCCAGAUGUCCUCAACAGAAGAAUGAAUACAAAAAAAAAUAUGGUUCAUAUACACAAUGGAAUUCUACGCAUCUAUUAAAAACAAUGACUUCAUGAAAUUUUCAGGCAAAGGGAUGGAACUAGAAAAUGUCAUCCUGAGUGAGAAAUGUUCCAGUCCAAAGGAAGAACAGGGACAAAAAUAUGGAACAGAUGAAGGAAGGG